CCCUUAGAUGUCCUGGGCUGCACGCGCGCUACACUGAUGUGUCCAGUAAGCACCUAACCUCUUCCGAAAGGAACGGGUAACCUUUGCAAAGCACAUCGUGAUGGGGAUAGAUUAUUGCAAUUAUUAGUCUUGAACGAGGAAUUCCUAGUAAGCACAAGUCAUCAGCUUGUGUUGAUUACGUCCCUGCCCUUUGUACACACCGCCCGUCGCUCCUACCGAUUGAAUGAUCCGAUGAAUACCAUGGAUUGAGAGUACGAAUAGGUUCGCUUAUUUCUGCUGCUCGAGAAGUGGAGUAAAUCUUAUCAUUUAGAGGAAGGAGAAGUCGUAACA
rnacentral:rRNA from 1 species